rnacentral:rRNA from 1 species
CAGAGGGCGCUUUGGCUUUGGCAGCGGUCCAAGUUCCUUGGAACAGGACGUCACAGAGGGUGAGAAUCCCGUACGUGGUCGCUGGCUAUUGCCGUGUAAAGCCCCUUCGACGAGUCGAGUUGUUUGGGAAUGCAGCUCUAAAUGGGAGGUACAUUUCUUCUAAAGCUAAAUAUUGGCCAGAGACCGAUAGCGCACAAGUAGAGUGAUCGAAAGAUGAAAAGCACUUUGGAAAGAGAGUCAAACAGCACGUGAAAUUGUUGAAAGGGAAGCGCUUGCAGCCAGACUUGCUUACAGUUGCUCAUCCGGGUUUCUACCCGGUGCACUCUUCUGUAGGCAGGCCAGCAUCAGUUUGGGCGGUAGGAUAAAGGUCUCUGUCACGUACCUCCUUUCGGGGAGGCCUUAUAGGGGAGACGACAUACUACCAGCCUGGACUGAGGUCCGCGCAUCUGCUAGGAUGCUGGCGUAAUGGCUGUAAGCGGCCCGUCU